rnacentral:rRNA from 1 species
AGCGAACGCUGGCGGCAGGCCUAACACAUGCAAGUCGCACGAACCUUUCGGGGUUAGUGGCGGACGGGUGAGUAACACGUGGGAACGUGUCUUUAGGUUCGGAAUAACUCAGGGAAACUUGUGCUAAUACCGCAUGUGACCUUCGGGGGAAAGAUUAAUCGCCUUUAGAGCGGCCCGGGCCUGCUUAGCUAGGUUGUUGAGGUAAUGGCUCACCAAGGCGACGAUCAGUAGCUGGUCUGAGAGGAUGAUCAGCCACAUUGGGACUGAGACACGGCCCAAACUCCUACGGGAGGCAGCAGUGGGGAAUCUUGCGCAAUGGGCGAAAGCCUGACGCAGCCAUGCCGCGUGAAUGAUGAAGGUCUUAGGAUUGUAAAAUUCUUUCGCCGGGGACGAUGAUGACGGUACCCGGAGAAGAAGCCCCGGCUAACUUCGUG